AAAAGCCCUAGCCACAGAAAGGGCGGCUCCCUCAGGCAGGCGCUGCAGGUGGAUCCAAGUUCCCUAAGCGCGGAGACCUCACUGCGGCUCCACCCCGCUCCUCUCCUGUAGCUUCAGGACCUGGAGAGCUUGAACACACCACUUGGUCGGAAAGCCUUGCACACGGUCUGUCCUUGCUGCACCAACGGGGCCAGCAGCACCCCCUGCGCUUGCCAAGGCUGAGGUGAGGAAAAAACACCCCCAAGACCCUGGACGGGGCCCAGCUCUCAGCAGCGGCAGUGGCUCCAGGCCCGUCACUUCGUUGCUGGGUCUCCUUUUCCACAGGGAGUUGUGGUGAGGCUGAGAUGAGAACACGUGUGAAGUGUCGUGUAAACUGGUGGAUAACAAUAACCCGUCCGUCCGCCUUCUUCCUGCCUGUCCUACCUGGUGCCUUGUCAAGUUAUUGGGAGGGGGCUAGCCAGGGGUAGGAGACGCAUCUAGGGUGCUCAUCCAGUUCAUGAUGCCUCUUGUUUCUCUGGAGAGUAUGUCCCUCCAUGUCCUGGCUGUGUGACCUUCAGCAAGUGACUCAACUUCUCUGUGCCUCAAUCAGACAUUGGCUAAAUGGGGGUAAUAUUAUUAAUACCUAGCUCACGGGGUUGUCAUGAGGAUUAAACAACGCAUGUAAAGUACUCCAUUCUGUAAGUGCACAUAGUAAGCGAUCAACAGGAGUCAGCUCUGGGUAUGCCCCACCCCUGGGGGAAAAGAAGCAGAGGCCAGCAAAGGGGCAUGGCUGAUUCUUGUUGGCGUUCCAGUGCCGGGACACUGUUCUGUACCUCCAUCUUUAGGUUCCCGCUGCUUUCUCAUCCUCUUUCCAGUGAAUCACCUUUUUUGGGUAAAAGUUAGGAUCUCUGUUACUCCCGACUGAACCUUAACACUGGAAUGUAAAAGAAACAACAAACAUCAUUUUCCUAAACUAAAUUAAUCUUACCUCAAGCUUGUAUCUCCCUGAGGGGGAUCAUCCACUUUUUAUUUCUGGAGAACCCCUCCCCCCAAUUCCAUGGGCUCAUCAGGAGUCCCGAGGAUUUCAGGGGAAUAGGAACACGAGAAGGGGCCUGGGCCACAGUCCCGGGUGGUCAUCGCUGCCUCUCCUGUUCCUGAGCACUGCGUCCACCUCCAGAGGCUCCGAGACGUCCCCCACGGGGUCUUCCUGGAUGGCCACGGGCACGCACAGGGAGCUCUGUGGACUUGUGAAGGGCACCUGCCAUGUCGCCUGGGCAGUCUGACCUUCCCACUGGAGGAGUCCAAGGCCUAGGCUCUGUCGCUGCCAGGCCUUGGGCAACCCAAGUGGAUGUUCUCGGGCCUCAGCAGCCCCUGAAGCAGCAGCAGUCAGUCGGCCUUCUGUCCCCAUCUCUCCUUUUCUCUGAGGGCCCGGCUCAGGAGCGUGAGGCCUGUCUGUCUUUCCAGAUUGAGGAAGUGAACCUUCCUCCCGUUUCAUUCCUCAUGCGCAGACAGUUUAUUUCACAGCCGUCCUGCACACUUGCGUGAACAAAGAACAAAGAACGUGGCUCACCACCCAGUUCUGCAAGGGUUAAGUCUUAACCCACUGCAGUCCCACCAACAGUGCACCCUGAGAGGAAUUCAGGAUAAGAAACAGGAUGAGACACCCUGUGCUUUGGAUAAAUGGGCCCCUAGAUAGUUAGAUGUAUAUCUCAGGAAGAAUUUCCACGACCCUAUAUUUUUGCAUCUUCCCAUACAUAAGAAAGCACUAAAAUCGUUAACUUGAGAUAUCUGUUCUUUGUGACUAGCAGUCAUCUUUUACCAAGAUGUAUGCUUGAUUGCAAGUAUUUCCCAGCCAAAAAUCAUAUAUAAACUGGCUUUUCCCCUCUUUCUUCAGAGCAGUUUCCUCUGAGCUGCUGAGUGGCGUCUCUGGGCUAUAGUCCUCAGCAGGACCCUGAAUAAAACUUAAACUCACAACUCUCACGCUGUGUGUCUUUCUUUGAGUCAACAGAUGUCUCAAAGGAGGCCACAGGGUUCAGGGGAAAUGAUGCUGAAGUCUUGGCAGGCGGAUUCUUAACCACUGCGCCCCCAGGGAAGUCCCCCACUGUGUGUCUUUGCAUGUGACGAUUCCUCAUCCUGGGUGCCUGGGCUCCACCCGAGAAUCUCCCACCUGUCCCUCUAGAUUCAGCAUGACCCCUCCCAGGGCCUUUCUGUGCACACCCACCCCCAGCUGCUCACCUUUCUGGCUUCAUUUAGCCUGACCUCUGACAACACCGGCCCUUCCCUCGUCUUCCUUUGGAUUACAUCUUGCCCUGUUUUCUCGGUUUUCUCCUGCUUCCCCGGCUGCCCCUCCUCCGUCUCCUUCAGCUCUGCCCGUCUCAUCACUGGUGUUCCUCGCUGCCCCUCUCCAGCCCUCCCCACUCUCUCGCCCUGGGGGAUCUCCUCCCCAUGGCCUCCUGGAUACUGACGCUCCCAGAUCUGCGCCUCCAGCUGGAUCUCUGCGGAGCACAAGGCUCUGGACUCCGGCCGACUCCACACCCAAAAGUCACAUCAGCUGAGCGUGUCCACGCCUCAGCUCAUCGUCCCUCUUCCCGCAUCCCUCUCUGUAACACAGCAUCUCAGGUGCACGUGGCUUUGGAGCAUCCUUCCAGUUCACAAUAACCCCCUUAAUCACAGCCACCUGUCCACCUCCAGCCAUGUUACCCCCUCCCCUCCCUUGGUGCUGGGUCACUUCCUGUGGUUCAGCAGGACACCUCCACCCAGCUGAGCGCGAACCAGCUGGCCAUUCAGUCUCUUCCCUGGGAAUUUGGAACCAGGUGGUGCUGGUGUUUCUUCGGGUGAAUUGGCCUAUUCUCUGUGGGUGGGAGCUAUGGGAGAGGCAUUUUCCACCACCCUGGGGCCUGGAGAAGCAGCGGGAGUCAGUCUGAGGAGAGAUGUGCAGGCAAGAUCAAAGGUGAGAAGGCUGAGGCUGAGGCCGAGGCCGGAACGUGAGGUGGCAGGGCAGGGGUCAUGCGCCCAUUGUACAGAUGCUGAAGGAGAGUCCAGGGGAAGAACGAUGUGGUCCCCAGGUCAGUAAUCCAGGCUUUUCGGCCUUGACCCUCCUUCCCUCAAGUUCAUCCCGUGCCCCUGAGCUUUUGCUCUCUGCAAGCAGGAGGGUCCCCUGAAUCAUCUGAAAGCCCGUCAUGCUUUGGGUGGCUGGACCCCCCUGCAUCUCUGCAGCUUGCCCCUCUGCUGUUCCUGCCUCUUCCCCAGUGCACUCCUGACAAAGGGGUUGAGAGCAGGGAGGGCGGGACCGACCUGCUAAGUCUGGGCUGGUUUAGGGCCAGGUCAUUCUUUAUCUGGGUUUUCACAGAACAAAGCUGUGCUGUUCCUCCUGGCAGCAGGGGUCCUGGGGUGAGGAGGGGCGCGUACGCCUCCCGCUGGCUCUGGCUUUUGUGUUCUCUUCUAGCCUGGCCUGCGAGCCCAGCAGGCCCAAGAUGCUGCAACCCGGACCGGCACAGCCGGCAGCGACUGGGGAGGGCCGCAUAGUCCCAGCAGAGUAGCAGAAUGUUUGCCAGAAAACUCCAACAGGCCAUCUGCUUCCAGAGAGCAGAGCACACGGUCUUGAAAGAGGCAGCCAGCAGGAGCUGUGGAGCCACAGAGGGCUGUCCUAAGGGAGUUCCUUUUUUAAAGAGCAUGUCUGACAAGUUGGGACAAAGCAAUGGGAGUUUGAAGAUUUCUGACAGGCACGGUUCCUAGAAACUUUUAAAAAAUUUUAAAAUAAAUGUUCCAGGAGGACUUCCCUGGGGGCGCAGUGGUUAGGAAUCCACCUGCCAAUGCAGGGGACUUGGGUUUGAGCCCUGGUCCGGGAAGAUCCCACAUGCCAAGGAGCAACUAAGCCUGUGUGCCACAACUACUGAGCCUGCGUUCUAGAGCCCACAAGCCACAACUACUGAAGCCCACGAGCCACAACUACUGAAGCCCACGCCCCUAGAGCCCGUGCUCCGCAACAAGAGAAGCCACCGUGAUGAGAAGCCCGCGCACCAUAACAAAGAGUAGCCCCCGCUUGCUGCAACUAGAGAAAACCCGUGCAGAGCAACAAAGACCCAACGCAGCCAAAUAAAUAAAAUUAAAAAAAGAAAAAGAAAAGGUUCCAGGAGAUACGGUUCUGCCCUAACAAAAGAGUCUCUCAGGUGCGGGUCUCCAAAAGGUCACCAGGUUACAUUACUCAGCGCUGGGUGAGGAAGUAACUGAAUGGCAGGGGACUGGCUGCAAAGGGCCACCACUCCAGGAAGGGAGACUUUUCUUUCUCCACACUUGCUAUUCAGAGGGCAUCUUAUUAUACCACCACCGCAUCUGUCCUUGUGAAGAAAGGACAACAAGCUGCCUCACGCACCAGGGCAGUGUGUUCAGUCUUUCACUCCCUUAGCAUUUGGGGAGCACCUGCUCUGCCUUGUUCUAGGGCUGGGAAAACAGACAAACUCCCUGCCCUGCAGGAACGAUUCUACCUUGGAAAAACUGAUGAAUGGAGUGACACGGGCGGAAAGGGCUCUGGAGAAAAGGAAAGGAAGUAUGGGGUGGUGGGGAGCUGUCAUUUUCAACGGAGUGGUCAAGAAAGACCUCACUGGGAAAGUAACAUUGGGGUAAGACCUGAAGAAGAGAGAGAGAGCACCCGGCAGUGCUGGAGGAUGUUCAGGCAGAGAAGGCAGCAUGUGCAAAGGCCCUGCGGUGGAAGCCAACAGCUAGGAAGCCAGGGUGGCUGGAGCUGAGUGGGCAGAGGGGGAAUGUCAGGGGAUGAGGCCAGUGAAGGGUGUGGGCGUGGGCUUCUGCACCACUGUGAAAGAAGGGAAGCCACCGGAAGGUUUGAAGCAGACACAUGACAUGUCCUCAAGUUUUAAGAAGAGAACAUCAAUUGGUGGCUGUGUGGAAAGCAGCCUUCAGGGCAAGGGCAAAUACAAGGGAUCAGUUACAAGGCUGUUACAAUAAUUCAGGCAAGAGAUGGUGGCAGUGAGGGUAUGAGAAGUGGUCAGUUUCUGGAUAUGCAGCACUUUGGAGGUAAAGCUAACAGGAUUUCCUGACAGGUCAGAUAUUUCUAUUUUAACACAGAAUAGAAACAAAUAAAAGAGCCCUGGAUUCGAUUUCAACAAGCCUGGCUUAUAGUUCUGGCUCUGCCUCCUGCUAGCCAUGAGACGAGGAUAAGCAAAUCAGCCCCUUAGAUCCCAGCUCCCUUAUUUGUAAAAAGGAAGUGAGAAAUACCUGCCCCUUUACCCGACAGGUUUUGUUGAGAGGCUCAAAAGAGAAGCUGAGGGUGACCACUCACUGAAAGCUACAGAGUGCCAUGCUUCUGCCAAAUAAAAAAACCUGAUGAUUUGUUUUAAUGACAAUUAUAUUUCUCUCCAUCAGUGGAGUCUCUUACCUUGGGGAGGGGGUGCCAGAGGGAUCAGCUCCCUCUCUCUGCCUCCCCUCUGGGUGCUGGUGUGCUGGGGUCGGGGACCUUCCCCUUCCUAUAACCUACCAAAAGUGCCAUGGACAGCUCUUCAGUUUGUGCCCUGUCCAAGGGCUCCUGGGUGAGAUGCAGUGGGUGCUGAAAUCCAGACUGUGUGUGCCCCGCUUCAGACCUUGUACCCUGAUGGGCGGCUGCAUCUGCCCCAGGACUGUUCCUUGUUUUGUUUUAUUUUUUUUCUCUUAUUUGCACAAGACAGAGGACCAGGCAGCCCCAGCUGCCCCUAAUUCAGCAGCUGAGGCAGAGAAGGGAAGAUGCAGGUAGGGGAUGACGUGGUGAGCUCAUAUCUUCCCUGUUAGAGUAGUUUCUGUGGCCAGUCUUACAGGAGAAAACAUUCUCUGGGGAAAUCUUUUUUUUUUUUUUAAUAAAUUUAUUUAUUUAUUUUUGGCUGCGUUGGGUCUUUGUUGCUGCGCGCAGGCUUUCUCUAGUUGCGGCGAGCGGGGGCUACCCUUCGUUGCGGUGCGUGGGUUUCUCCUUGCAAUGGCUUUUCUUGUUGUGGAGCACGGACUCUAGGCGCGCGGGCUUCAGUAGUUGUGGCGCAUGGGCUUAGUUGCUCCGCGGCAUGUGGGAUCUUCCCGGCCCAGGACUCGAACCCGUGUCCCCUGCAGUGGCAGGUGGAUUCUUAACCACUGCGCCACCAGGGAAGCCCGGGAAGUCUUUUUAACUUGGAUUGACGUGGGUUGCACAAGGCAAAAUUGGGGCUCUGGAAUCAUUUGAAUGCUAGAGAAGGAAAGGAAAAAAAAGCAAAUUAGGGAUCCUGCCACCGGCCCCUUUCAAAGUGACGCCACUGUAGAGAAAAGAUGGAAACUCGAGAUUUAGGCAGAUGUGUUACACUGCGUCCCACCCGAUCGGGUGCUUAGGGUGCCGAGGGCCGGAUCCCACCUUGUCCUGACCCCCUGCUUUGACCGCUCACCUUCUGACCCUGAAAUGCAAGUGUGGCUCCCCUUUGGCGUGAUCUGUGCCCAGCCUCUGGCUUGGUUAGCAGCUGGCCGCUCUAGCAGGCAGGCCUGGUGUCCCAGCCUGGCCUCAGGCCAUGGUGAGAGGGCUGCACAUUUUCAAGGUCAUUAUCUCUCCUCCAGGUUCCCCAAACCAGGCGAGAAGCAACUUUGGUAGAAUGGGUUUGGUAAUGUAUUGUGUGUAGGGUGAGCCUCUGUUUUUCUCCGUCUUUCCUCUGCACGCUUCUCCUGGAAGGAGUACCCUAAUUACCCUCUGGAGUAGCACCUCUCCCCCACUCCUAGAUCAUGAACUUUGGGCCGGGGGUGGGGGGGUUAAAUCCAGCUUAGCAACAUGGCGGCCAUGGGACUUGCGAGCUUCUCACUGGGGAGGGGUAAAUGUCCCAGGCAGAGCAAUGACAUGAAAUGAGCCUUCCCAGAGGAUCUUUGGGUCAGACGUUCCCUACUGGACCUAACGACAGGAAGGAUGGCCUGAAUCUUGAGCUGCUGGGGCCUGACAAUGAAACCAACCUUCAGCAGAGGCGGAGCGAAGAGCUGCCUCUCUCCUGAUGGCAUCACGUAAGCCACUGGAUCAAGCUCUACUGGAAGUACCAGAUCUAUCCCUGCCCUUCCCCAAAAGGCACCAAUAAAGUAAUUUCCUUUUU